AUUGAACGCUGGCGGCAGGCUUAACACAUGCAAGUCGAGCGAGCGGCGGACGGGUGAGUAAUGUCUGGGAAACUGCCUGAUGGAGGGGGAUCACUACUGGAAACGGUCGCUAAUACCGCAUACCAUCAGAUGUGCCCAGAUGGGAUGAGCUAGUAGGUGGGGUAUUGGCUCACCUAGGCGACGAUCCCUCGCUGGUCGGAGAGGAUGACCGGCCACACGGGAACUGAGACACGGUCCAGACUCCUAGGGGAGGCAGCAGUGGGGAAUAUUGGACAAUGGGCGAAAGCCUGAGGCAGCCAUGCCGCGUGUGUGAAGAAGGCCUUCGGGUUGUAAAGCACUUUCAGCGAGGAGGCGUUACUCGCAGAAGAAGCACCGGCUAACUCCGUGCCAGCAGCCGCGGUAAUAC
rnacentral:rRNA from 1 species